rnacentral:rRNA from 1 species
UACGUAGGGUGCGAGCGUUAAUCGGAAUUACUGGGCGUAAAGCGUGCGCAGGCGGUUCGUUGUGUCGGCGGUGAAAGCCCCGGGCUCAACCUGGGAAUGGCCGUUGAAACUGGCGAACUGGAGUGUGGCAGAGGGGGGGUGGAAUUCCGCGUGUAGCAGUGAAAUGCGUAGAGAUGCGGAGGAACACCGAUGGCGAAGGCAGCCCCCUGGGAUAACACUGACGCCUCAUGCACGAAAGCGUGGGGAGCAAACAGG